rnacentral:rRNA from 1 species
UACAGAGGUCCCAAGCGUUGUUCGGAUUCAUUGGGCGUAAAGGGUGCGUAGGUGGCGCGCUAAGUCAGGUGUGAAAUUUCGGAGCUUAACUCCGAAACUGCAUUUGAUACUGGCGUGCUUGAGGACUGGAGAGGAGACUGGAAUUUACGGUGUAGCAGUGAAAUGCGUAGAGAUCGUAAGGAAGACCAGUGGCGAAGGCAGCAUCCUGGGAAGUUCCUGACGCUCGGGUGCGAAAGCCAGGGGAGCGAACAGG